UUGAACGCUGGCGGCAGGCCUCACACAUGCAAGUCGAACGGUAACAGGAAGCAGCUUGCUGCUUUGCUGACGAGUGGCGGACGGGUGAGUAAUGUCUGGGAAACUGCCCGAUGGAGGGGGAUAACUACUGGAAACGGUAGCUAAUACCGCAUAACGUCGCAAGACCAAAGAGGGGGACCUUAGGGCCUCUUGCCAUCGGAUGUGCCCAGAUGGGAUUAGCUAGUAGGUGGGGUAACGGCUCACCUAGGCGACGAUCCCUAGCUGGUCUGAGAGGAUGACCAGCCACACUGGAACUGAGACACGGUCCAGACUCCUACGGGAGGCAGCAGUGGGGAAUAUUGCACAAUGGGCGCAAGCCUGAUGCAGCCAUGCCGCGUGUAUGAAGAAGGCCUUCGGGUUGUAAAGUACUUUCAGCGGGGAGGAAGGGAGUAAAGUUAAUACCUUGGCUCAUUGACGUUACCCGCAGAAGAAGCACCGGCUAACUCCGUG
rnacentral:rRNA from 1 species